AAAGUACUCCCUCCAUCCCAAAAUUCUUGUCUUAUAUUUUUCUAGAUACAGAUGUAUCAAGUCACAUUUUAGUAUUAGAUACAUCUGUAUCUAGAAAAAUCUAAGACAAGAAAUUUGGGACAGAGGGAGUAGUUG
rnacentral:pre_miRNA from 1 species